rnacentral:rRNA from 1 species
CCUACGGGAGGCAGCAGUGAGGAAUAUUGGUCAAUGGCCGGAAGGCUGAACCAGCCAAGCCGCGUGAAGGACGAAGGUGCCAAGCAUUGUAAACUUCUUUUGUCAAGGGACAAAAUCAGGCUCGAGAGCCUGACCGAGGGUACUUGAAGAAAAAGCAUCGGCUAACUCCGUGACAGCAGCCGCGGUAAUACGGGGGAUGCGAGCGUUAUCAGGUUUUAUUGGGGUUAAGGGGUGCGAAGGCGGACUGUUAAGUCAGCGGUAAAAGCCCGGGGCUCAACCCCGGCGAGCCGUUGAAACUGGCUGUCUUGAGAUGUCGAGAGGUAUGCGGAAUGCGCAGUGUAGCGGUGAAAUGCUUAGAUAUUGCGCAGAACUCCGAUUGCGAAGGCAGCAUACCGGCGGCGAUCUGACGCUGAGGCACGAAAGCGUGGGUAGCGAACAGGAUUAGAUACCCCAGUAGUC